UACAGAGGGUACAAGCGUUGUCCGGAUUUAUUGGGCGUAAAGAGCGUGUAGGCGGCCAGAUAGGUCGGUUGUGAAAACUGGAGGCUUAACCUUCAGACGUCGACCGAAACCAUCUGGCUAGAGUCCGGAAGAGGAGAAUGGAAUUCCUGGUGUAGCGGUGAAAUGCGCAGAUAUCAGGAAGAACACCCGUGGCUAAGGCGGUUCUCUAGUACGGUACUGACGCUGAGACGCGAAAGCGUGGGGAGCGAACAGG
rnacentral:rRNA from 1 species